rnacentral:misc_RNA from 1 species
AACCAUAGAAACCUGCGGAGUACCUGCGGAGGGAUCAUUAUAGUAUAUGGAAUCUCCAUUCUAUAAACCCACUCUGCGUAUCUUGUAACUGUUGCUUCCAUGGGACUUGGUUUCGCCACACCGGCUUCACGGCUGGUGAGCGCCCAUGGAAGGAGAAACAAAACUCUUCUUUGAAAUGUAGUCAGUCUGAACAAGUUUUUAUAAACGUUAAAACUUUUAACAAUGGAUCUCAGAUCGGAA